rnacentral:lncRNA from 1 species
GCCAUCGAUGGCCAGAACCACAGCUUCUUAUAACAGCACCCUCCAGAUUGGUCCCAGGUGUGUCUCCAGGUGCAGACAAUAAUGACAGUUAAUCAUAUUCUCUUUGUUUCAGUUACCUGGGAUGUUUGGGGGUGGCCCUUCUGGUGACACUUCCUGUGUGGGCAAAGCAAAGGCCAAGGAAUCCUAUAUCCUGAAAUGGACCGUGUUGGCUGUACCAUCACGUGGGGUGAUUCUAAGGUUGCAUCUGAAACACACAGUUUGAGGAAGUAGGAACUGAGUACUACAGGACAGAAUAACUGCCAUGUUAAAAGUCUCGUCCCCUGAAACGUCUGAAAGUCACUGAUCAAUCAAUCAUGUCUGAAGUGCUGUCUGAGGAAAAGUCCAAGUUGAAUGAACAACUGGUAAAUUAGGUGUGACUGUUCAUGUAUCUGAAUGUUGAACGACUGAGAAACAGCAGUGUGAGCUGGAUGGAAGGUUUUCAGUCAAUGCCAAUGGUCAAGCUCACAGGCCUGUCUGGGACCUCUGACUCUGACACUCUCUCCCACGAUUCCUCUGGGCUGCUGGAGCCUCUGAAAGUUCUGCAGGAUGCAGCUGAUGAUGAUGAUGAUGAAGGACUGGAGGAGUUUGUGUGCUUGUGCGGACUGAAGCAGGAAAGUCAUGUGUGUGAGCAGCAGUACCACCUCCCCCGGAGCAGUCCGGUCAUUUCCCGCCGAAUGCGGUUGGAGAACACGCACACAGACAAACACUCACACACACCCACACACACUCACACACACUCGCAGGAAAUGAAAUACACUGAGUCCCCUGUGGAACCUCUGAACUCCUCCCUGUCUACCUUUCUGGUUCGCCUACUACACAAAGCACACAAAACCGCAGACUUUAGAAAGAACAGAAAUGAUGGGGCACACGCGCAUGAGGAGAUCUUUAGGAGCAGUGCACAUCUGGACCAGGAAAAUGCUCAUUUUGUGGUGGUGGACAUGCUGCUUGAGAUGAUGGAGCAGGUAAAGUGGGAUGUGUAUGUGGCCCACAAGCUGCACACAGAGAGAGACCACACCAUCGGUUUCUGUGAAACACACACGCCAUCCAGGGACAGUGGAUAUGCAGGUAAAUACUAUUGUGACAGGAAUGUGUUGCAGUGA